UACGUAGGAUGCAAGCUGUUGUCCGGAAUUACUGGGCGUAAAGGGCGAGUAGGCGGCCACUCAAGUCAGAUGUGAAAAUAGCCCGGCUUAACCGGGAGGGGUCAUUUGAAACUGAGUAGCUAGAGUGCAGGAGAGGCUAGCGGAAUUCCCAGUGGUAGUGGUGAAAUACGUAGAGAUUGGGAAGAACACCAGUGGCGAAGGCGGCUAUCUGGACGGUUUCUGACGCUAAGACGCGGAAAAGCGGUGGGGAGCCAAACAGGGAUUAAGAA
rnacentral:rRNA from 1 species